AGGGUCUUUCGAGUUUUGUAU
rnacentral:misc_RNA from 1 species